GGCUGGUCUGAGUGCAGUGGUAUUUACAACUAAUUGAUCACAACCCGUUACAGAUUUCUUUGUUCCUUCUCCACUCCCACUACUUCACUUGACUAGCCUUAA
rnacentral:Y_RNA from 1 species